CAGGAGGGAGAGGGAGAGGCGCACGGAGCCCGCGGAGCUGGAGGGGGAGAAAGGGAGGCGGGAGGCGAGCCGGCGAGCGAGCUAGAGACGCGCCAGAGAUUCAUGGGCAGGGAGGGCUCAAUGGCCGCGCCGCGCCGGCCGGCCGGCCGCUCGGGUCAUGUUACACGGCCGGGGCCGCGGCGGCCGCCCAGCCUCGCCGAUGCGCUCACGCGGCCCGGAGGGGGCCCCGAGGUCAUGAUUACGCGCGCGGGGACUCGCAGCUCUCCCUGCACGCACUCUCUGGCGGCCCAGCCUGGGGAAAGGGGAGCAGCGCCGUAGGGGGAAGGGGGCUUUCUUUCCCACGCGUGACCAGCCGGCCCCUGCGCUCCCCGGCCUGCGUUGGAGGGCCCGGGACAGAGCCGCGCUGCUCCCCGGCCCGCGGGCUCUUCCCUGCCGGUUCCCGGCCCUCUCGACAGCUGCGGCCCGUCCGCCCUUCCCCACCCCCUCUGCGCACGGGACGGGAUCUGGUCUCGAGAGCCUGGACCUCACCGGCACCCUCCCCGGGGCCCCCAGCACCAGCCAGAAAACGACUUGAUCUGCUUAGAAGAGGCAACUUCGGGGAGAAAAUUCGCGUUCGCCCAGUUCCCCUCCCCCGCCUCCCUGUGAAUAAAUAAAAUCCUAAGUGUCUAGGUGUGCGGUCCCCUCUCGCGCUCCCUGGCUCCCCUCCCUACCUCCCCCAGGCGGCUCGGGCUGGAGAAAGCAGCG
rnacentral:lncRNA from 1 species